rnacentral:rRNA from 1 species
CCUACGGGAGGCAGCAGUGAGGAAUAUUGGUCAAUGGGCGAGAGCCUGAACCAGCCAAGUCGCGUGAGGGAAGACGGUCCUAUGGAUUGUAAACCUCUUUUGUCGGGGAGCAAAAAGGCCUCGUGAGGCCACAAGUGAGAGUACCCGAAGAAAAAGCAUCGGCUAACUCCGUGCCAGCAGCCGCGGUAAUACGGAGGAUGCGAGCGUUAUCCGGAUUUAUUGGGUUUAAAGGGUGCGUAGGCGGACUGGGAAGUCAGCGGUAAAAGCCCGGGGCUCAACCCCGGCCCGCCGUUGAAACUGGCAGUGUCGAGUUGGAGAGAAGUAUGCGGAAGGCGCGGUGUAGCGGUGAAAUGCAUAGAUAUCGCGCAGAACUCCGAUUGCGAAGGCAGCAUGCCGGCUCCACACUGACGCUGAGGCACGAAAGCGUGGGUAUCGAACAGGAUUAGAUACCCGUGUAGUC